rnacentral:rRNA from 1 species
UACGUAGGGCGCAAGCGUUGUCCGGAAUUAUUGGGCGUAAAGAGCUCGUAGGCGGCCUGUUGCGUCCGCUGUGAAAUCCCGGGGCUUAACCCCGGGCUUGCAGUGGAUACGGGCAGGCUAGAGGUAGGUAGGGGAGAAUGGAAUUCCCGGUGUAGCGGUGAAAUGCGCAGAUAUCGGGAGGAACACCGGUGGCGAAGGCGGGUCUCUGGGCAGUAACUGACGCUGAGGAGCGAAAGCGUGGGGAGCGAACAGG